CUGCCUCAGCCUCCCGAAGUGCUGGGAUGACAGGCGUGAGCCACCGCGCCCGGCCUGUCUCUCUUUUUGUAUAGCACCUCUGUAUGGGUUUGGACAACACUUCCUGUUGAUCAUUUGUCCCCCACAGUGAGACACCUCUUUCUGAAUAUCUCUGGGGGAAAGAUGGGCCAGGAUAGCUCCCUCGAGAGCGCCCUCUGUUAUUAUUAGGUUGGUGCAAAAGUAAUAAACUGCAAUUACUUGUGCACCAACCUACUAGUUCUGAGAAGAGAUGGUAAAUACAGCCCCUUGCUUUCUGCAACCUGCUGCCUCUGCUCUCUUCUCUCCGUUUUAUUGGGACCUGUUUUCCUUUCUGCUUCUGCCCUGGUCAAUUUGGAUUCUACUACCCCCAGCAAUGUCUUCUCGGUGCCGGACUUUGUCGUGCAAGUGAGUUGCAUUUGGUCAAUUUCAAGAGUCCGUGGCCCAAUGGCUCCCGCACCAUCUGCCUUGCUGCUUUCUCCUUGCAGGCGCCUGCGAGUGGACGGAAGGCUGUGAGUCUCCCUGCUUUGACUCUUGUUCUCUGACUGGACCAUGGGCUUUCCAGGGAGUCCUUGCUUGUGAUUUGGGGGUCUCUCCAGAUCUCAGGAUCAUCAGAAUCCCCCUCUGCAUUGACUUCUCUCCUCUCCCUCUCCUGCGGUUGCUGAUACCAUGCAAGGCUUGUGGCUGUCAGUGACUUGUACCCACCUGCUUGUGUGCUGUGGACACCUUGCCACCUAGUCUCACUGUGGCUGUUAUCCAGAGGUUUUUGGUUUUGCUAUCCUAGGUGCUCUGUCAAUUGUUGGAGAAUUUGGGGAGGUAAAAAAACUACGGCAUCACUGUCCCAUCUUCCCAAAAUUGCUUUUAAACCCACUUACCGAAAAGUAGCAGAAACAUUCGUUAUAAAAGCCGCAGUGUGGAUGGCAGCUCCCAGUGUUUUUCAGGGGAAAUGAGAAGCUCCAAAGAGCAGAGCAUGACAUGUCUCAGGGCCUGGCCUCUGUCUUGAGACUGCAGAGACCCUACGGAUAGAGCUGUAAACAGGGCUGCCCUGUCCUGUUGCUGGGUUGUGUACUCCUCAAGUGCCCUUGGCUGAGAGGGUAAGUGGGGCUGAAUCCCAGCCCGUGCUCCACCAUGCUGAGUCCUGGGUCUGGUCCUGGCAUGCCCCCCUCCCACCUUGAUAACGCACGCAGGCCCUAGCAGCUUUCCUGACUAUAGGGGAGGGUGUGGCUGCGUGGUUUUGAGGCCUCUUUCUGCAGGUGGGCGGUGGGGGCGGUCCCUGCAGGGAGGUCUGCAAAGCCCGAGUUCUCUCCCUGAGAUGGGGAGAGCCACCACCACGUUCCAUGCAUGUCCUCCCAGGUCUGAGCUUUACCAAAGUCACUUCUGGUAGAAAUGCGGAGCUCCCUCACCUCCGUCCUGACCCGUGCAAUCUUCAGCCUCAUCUGGGAAAGAGGCUUCCGGAACAGGAGUAGGGGGACCCUCAGCCAAGCCAGGAGCGGGAUGAAUUAUGCUGGCUUGGCCCAGCCCAAAGGGGCUCCAGGUGGAGAGGGACUGGAGAGCCACAGUCCUUCUGGAGAACUUUCCCCGGCUUUCCAGCCCCUGCCCUGCCAUGGACUGCUGGGGUCCCUGGUUGGUGCAGGCCCUUUUCUGCCUCUUAGUUUGUGAUCACACUAUUUUCUUUACCACUGUCUCUUGGAAAACUUCCAUGCAUCCUUCAGGGCCCAGCUCAGAUGUCACCUCCUCCAGGAAGCCUCCUCAUGAAGCCUUGCUCCUUACCCCAAGCUCAGUUUGUCGCUUCCGUAAGCGCUGCUGCUCCUGACUCCAUUCAACACGCAUGGGUUCAAUCGUGCGGCCAACCAACGUUUGCUGAGCAGCUACUAUGUUUUGAGUCUCUGUGUGUUACCCUGGGGUAAAUGAGACUGACCUGGCUCCUGGCCUCGGGGGGUGUGCGGUGAGAUUGUCCCUGUGGUGAGCUUGUUUGCCUCUCCCCAGGGAUGGGCACCAUGGCACAUAUGCUGCUGACCCCAGUGCCCAGCAAGGACCUGGCACGCAGGAGAUGCUUAGUGGGGGUUUGGUGCGUGGUGAAUGUCCUCAGCGUGGAGGACUCAGCCAGCGCAGCAGGGGAACAGAGGCUGUCUUUGGCAUCAGUCCCUGAGUAGCUUCCUGGUCCUGGCUGCUGGGCUGGGGGACACUGCCCACUCUCCAAGCUGCUCACGUACAUUACUAGCCACGGGAGAUGAGUGAGGGCUUCUCAGCUCCACAGGGGCAAGCUGCAGUGACAGAGUAGGCCUUGCCCAUGAACUGCCAGGGCCCCCUAGCUGAGAUGAGAUCCGCCCCUGGCAGGCCGUGGAAGGACGAGCCCUCCCUGAGUGCGUGACCCCCAGCCCCGCCCGACCUCAAGUCUAUCCCGGAGCCUCCCCUCCCACCUCCGGGCUCUGGGUCCCCUGCUGUAAAACGCCCGCAAGGCCAGCUCAGAGUCUGGUCCCAGGGCAGCUGUGGGGUUGGCCUUGGCCCCGCCCCACCGGGUCUCACUCACCCUCAGCUCACCGCAAAGCCCUGAGGUGGGUCUCCUGUGGAGCCCCUUUCUGUGCCGGAACACCCCCAGACUUUUCUCUUGCAGCCUGGGGCUCAUUGUCUGAGGGCAGGGUUGCCACCUUUAAGACAUCGUGAGGUUCGGCCACCCCAGAGCAAGCUGCCCCCACCGCGGCUCCUCUUCAGGCCCAGCGAGGAAUGGCUGCUUGCACCAGGCCCUGGCAACCGUAAAGCUGCUUUCUCUCUCGGGACCUGCCUAUUCUGGACAUUUUGUAUAAAUGGAAUCACGUAAUAUGUGGCCUUUCGAGCUUCCUUCACUCAGUGUCAUGUUUCCAAGAUCCACUCCCAUUGAAACCGGCUGGAGUGCAGUGGCACGAUCUUGACUCACUGCAAGCUCU